GAUGGUCAUGCCAUAUGAUGUUUUCUCUCGAUGACAAUCCCUCAUUACAGCAUGCUCAAACUGACAGUGUCUUGUGCUCCAAAUUGUAUCAGGCUCGGUCUAACGUGAAAGACCCUGACACACUGUAAGCGCAUUAGAGGGAACCUCUUCAAAGGAGAAUUAAUGAAUUGCCCAAAGCCUAAACGAAGGAAGAGUAGGGAGGAUAGGCUACCAACAUUCCACACAUUGGAAGACUGCGUAGAAUCCUUUAAGAUCACAAAGACGGAGAAGAUGAAGCUGGCUGCUCAGGACAUGUGGAGAUGUGGACAUCAGGAGAUGCCCUUCAGGCUCUCCAGUUUAAGAAGUCCUCUGGAUGAUAUCCUCAACCACUAGGCCUAACUCUCAAUGAAGCCAUUGAUAUUAUGGAUGUUCACUGUAGCCCUAAAAUAUGUGUGGCCUACUUCAGCGAUAGCUUGACGACAUUCACAAAAUGGACACUGUCUGUAGAUUGUUGUUAUCAUCUUAUCAUGCUAGUGCUAAUGCUAAUGUACUGUAGCAUGGUCAAGUUCAUGCUAGUAGCACUAGUGCUGGUGCUAAUGUUAGCGUAGCGUGGUCAAGUUCAUGCUAGCACUAGUGCUGGUGUUAAUGCUAACUUGCUAAUGUGCUAAUGCUAGCAUAGCGUGGUCAAGUAGAAGACAAGUUUGGCAUGCUUUAUGUCAGCUAUUAGCUGUUAGCUAACUAGCUGGUUUAAUUCUCAUUGAGCUCAAUGCAAUUCAAACCAGCUAAUUAGCGAACAGCUAAUAACUGACAUAAACCAUGCCAAUCUAUUAGUAUGGUGAAGGGUAUAGUGUUGAUGUGGGGUUAUUUUAAUUCCAAAGGCCAAGGGGAUCAGGGUGCAUAGUGUCCUGGAUCCAUGAAAUAACUGGCCUUUAAAAAUAAAAAUAAAAAUAAAAAUCCUUUAAGGGAAUUUAACAUGGGCAUUCCAAUACUUACGACCCCUGUAUUUUAAGGAAAACAUUUAUUUAUUUGAUACAUUAUUCAUUCACAAAGAAAACUGAUGUCCUCAAAGCUUGAAUAUUUCCUCAUUGUUUCAUUUAAGGCAUUGAAGAGAAACUAUGCAGGAUUGGCGAUUUCAUCUCAUUUCAUUUUGCUUUUCGUUUUCUCUCGUUUAGAGCUUCCCCUACAGCUUUAGCGUAUAUUUAUACAUAUAUAGGCUAUAUAUAUAUUUAUAAAUUGCAAGUGUGGUUCUUCUUGUUCCUUACGCGUCUCAGACCUCCAGAUAUAAACAAGGAGCGAUCACCUCCUGGACAAACUGCAAGGCUGCAAUAGCGGAUAGGGACACUGGGGGCGGGAAACUGGUCAGUCAAGCAAAACAAUGAUUUUAUGACAAAGAAAAUGUUGCAUAGGGUCUCUUUAAGGUCCAUUUCCAAAAGAUGAUUUGAUAUUUAACUUUAAGGAUGAGUUACAAUACUUUUGGAGGGCAAUGUUUAUUGAUAUAUUCUGUAUUACUGUCAAUAACAUGCUCUGAAUUACUGCCAGUCAACAGGAGACCCCUGAAGUAUACACCAUCUAAUAAACAUGUUCUGUAUUACUACUGAUAUGUUUUGUCUAUCAAUACCUGUAGCCGCCAAAUAGGCUUCUGUUAUUGAAAUUUAAGAUUUUGAAUAAUUAAUUUGAAAUGUUAUAUGUUUAUGAAUUCUGAUGUUUUCUAAUUUUAUUUUGAUAUCAGCAUGUAAUUUAGUGUAACAUUUCUUGGUAUGAUUACACUGUAGGCCCUAAAUGAUAUGUAGUUUUAUUUGGGUGCAUAUUUAGUUUUGGAAGAACUUAUAGGAGGAUGCGUGGCAUGAGAGUUUAGGAGUUUCACGUUUUUUUUCUGACCGUGUCAGUCGUGUAUGUUUGUGGCAUUUGGUGUGACAUUUGUGACAAUAAAAUAUUCAAGAAAAGAAACUGGAAGACUUUUUAUA